AACGAACGUUAGCGGCGCGCUUAACACAUGCAAGUCGAACGAGAAAGGGCUUCGGCCCCGGUAUAGUGGCGCACGGGUGAGUAACACGUGGGUAAUCUACCCUCGAGCGGGGGAUAACGUUCCGAAAGGAGCGCUAAUACCGCAUAAGACCACGCUCUCGAAAGGGAGCGAGGUAAAAGUAGGCCUCUGAAUUCACGCUUACACUCGAGGAUGAGCCCGCGGCCCAUCAUGGUAGUUGGUAGGGUAAUGGCCUACCAAGCCGAAGACGGGUAGCUGGUCUUAGAGGAUGAUCAGCCACACUGGAACUGAGACACGGUCCAGACUCCUACGGGAGGCAGCAGUGGGGAAUCUUGCGCAAUGGGCGAAAGCCUGACGCAGCGACGCCGCGUGGGUGAUGAAGGCCUCGGUCGUAAAGCUUGUGGGGAGAGACGGAAUAAGACGUGGCUAAUAUCCACGGCGAUGACGGUAUCUCCUUAGCAAGCACCGGCUAACUCCGUGCCUAGCAGCCGCGGUAAU
rnacentral:rRNA from 1 species